rnacentral:rRNA from 1 species
CUAGUAACGGCGAGUGAAGCGGCAACAGCUCAAAUUUGAAAUCUGGCUUCGGCCCGAGUUGUAAUUUGUAGAGGAUGCUUUGGGCGCGGCUCCAACUGAGUUCCCUGGAACGGGACGCCACAGAGGGUGAGAGCCCCGUAUAGUUGGAUGCCUAGCCUGUGUAAAGCUCCUUCGACGAGUCGAGUAGUUUGGGAAUGCUGCUCUAAAUGGGUGGUAAAUUUCUUCUAAAGCUAAAUAUUGGCCAGAGACCGAUAGCGCACAAGUAGAGUGAUCGAAAGAUGAAAAGCACUUUGAAAAGAGGGUUAAAUAGCACGUGAAAUUGUUGAAAGGGAAGCGCUUGUGACCAGACUUGGGCCUGGCGGAUCAUCCGGUGUUCUCACCGGUGCACUCCGCCAGGCACAGGCCAGCAUCGGUUCUCGUGGGGGGAUAAAGGUCCCGGGAACGUAGCUCCUCCGGGAGUGUUAUAGCCCGGGGCGUAAUGCCCUCGCGGGGACCGAGGUUCGCGCAUCUGCA